rnacentral:rRNA from 1 species
GCCUGAUCCAGCCAUGCCGCGUGCGUGAUGAAGGCCUUCGGGUUGUAAAGCUCUUUUGUCCGGGAAGAAACGGUCUGAGCUAAUACCUUGGGCUACUGACGGUACCUGAAGAAUAAGCACCGGCUAACUACGUGCCAGCAGCCGCGGUAAUACGUAGGGUGCAAGCGUUAAUCGGAAUUACUGGGCGUAAAGCGUGCGCAGGCGGUUUUGCAAGACAGAUGUGAAAUCCCCGGGCUCAACCUGGGAAUUGCAUUUGAGACUGCCGGGCUGGAGUGCGGUAGAGGGGGAUGGAAUUCCCCGUGUAGCAGUGAAAUGCGUAAAGGUGGGGAGGAACACCGAUGGCGAAGGCGAUCCCCUGGACCUGUACUGACACUCAUGCUCGAAAGCGUGGGGAGCAAACAGGAUUAGAUACCCUGGUAGUCCACGCCCUAAACGAUGCGACUGGUUGUUGGACGGCUUGCUGUUCUCAAACGAGGCUCUUACGUGAAGUUGACCGCCUGGGGAGUGUAGUCGCAAGGGACAGACUCUCAGGAGAAGUGAGGGACCCGCACAAACGCUGGAUGAUGUGUGUUA